rnacentral:pre_miRNA from 1 species
AACAUACUUCCUCCGUCCAACAAAAGAUGUCUCAAGUUUGUUAAAAUUUAAAUGUAUCUAGACAUGACUGAGUGUAUAGAUAGCAUUCAAAUUUAGUCAAAGUUGAGAAAUUUUUUGUUGGACGGAAUGGUCAGUAUUAU